UUCAAGACGGCAUCGUGUAGUGUAGUAAAAUGCAGUGUAACAGGAGAAAAUUAGAGAAAGUGACAAAGUCAGGGAACAUACUGACCAAAGAGAUGGACUCCAGGUUUGUCAAUCUCUUUUGGUGGACUCUUAAUCCUUUCGUCUCAAAGCAGCAAUAUGGAUGACGGACAUCUUUACAAGACCCAGCACAAUUCAGAUGACACUUUUAUCCCAAUGUGAUAUCUGCAGUGCCAAUUUAAACAAUCAGAUGUCCAUGGAGUGGCUGGGGUUACCUGAACAGACAGCCAUCACAAAUGUCUAACCACACCUCCCCAUUUACUGCACUAUUGAAUCUAA